GACGAGCCUCACAAACGUUAUUCGGAUUCACUGGGCGUAAAGGGUGCGCAGGCGGCCGGGUGUGUCAGAUGUGAGAUCCCGAGGCUCAACCUCGGAACUGCGUCUGAAACUACUCGGCUAGAGUACUGGAGAGGGUAACGGAAUUCACGGUGUAGCAGUGAAAUGCGUAGAUAUCGUGAGGAACACCAGAGGCGAAGGCGGUUACCUGGACAGUUACUGACGCUCAGGCACGAAAGCAUGGGGAGCAAAAGGG
rnacentral:rRNA from 1 species